rnacentral:rRNA from 1 species
GGCCUGGCUGGACGGUCCGCCCUUCGGGUGAGUACUGUCUGUAGUCGGGUCCUACCUUCUGGCGAAGCGUCAUGGCCUUAACCGGCCGUGGCGGGGAACCAGGACUUUUACUUUGAAUAAAUCAGAAAGCUUCAGUUGGGCCUUCGCUUGAAUGCUUCAGCAUGGAAUAAUAGAAUAGGACGUGCGUCUCUAUUUUGUUGGUUUCUAGGGACGCCGUA